AGCGCAGGCGGACCGGCAAGUUGGAAGUGAAAACUAUGGGCUCAACCCAUAAAUUGCUUUCAAAACUGCUGGCCUUGAGUAGUGCAGAGGUAGGUGGAAUUCCCGGUCGUAGCGGUGGAAUGCGUAGAUAUCGGGAGGAACACCAGUGGCGAAGGCGACCUACUGGGCACCAACUGACGCUGAGGCUCGAAAGCAUGGGUAGCAAACA
rnacentral:rRNA from 1 species